rnacentral:rRNA from 1 species
UACAUAGGUGGCGAGCGUUGUCCGGAUUUACUGGGCGUAAAGGGAGCGUAGGCGGACUUUUAAGUGAGAUGUGAAGUACCCGGGCUCAACUUGGGUGCUGCAUUUCAAACUGGAAGUCUAGAGUGCAGGAGAGGAGAAUGGAAUUCCUAGUGUAGCGGUGAAAUGCGUAGAGAUUAGGAAGAACACCAGUGGCGAAGGCGAUUCUCUGGGCAGUAACUGACGCUGAGGAGCGGAAGCAUGGGUAGCGAACAGGAUUAGA